rnacentral:rRNA from 1 species
CAAUAGCGUAUAUUAAAGCUGUUGCGGUUAAAAAGCUCGUAGUUGGAUUUCUGUCAGGGACAACUGGUCCGCCCUCCGGGUGAGCACAUAGUUUGGUCUUGGCAUCUUGCUGGAAGCUGUUGCUGCACUUGGCUGUGUGGCGCAGCGUCCAGCACUUUCACUUUGAGGAAAUUGGAGUGUUUCAAGCAGGCACAUGCCUUUGGACACAGUAGCAUGGAAUAAUUAGAUUGGGCUUUUGCUCCAAUUUGUCGGUUUCUGGAGCUGAGGUGAGAAUUAAUGGGGAUUGUUGGGGGCAUCCGAAUUUAGCCGUCAGAGGUGAAAUUCUUGGAUCUGCUAAAGACGGACAACUGCGAAAGCGUUUGCCCAGGAUGUUUUCAUUGA